AUACGUAGGGGGCAAGCGUUGUCCGGAAUUACUGGGCGUAAAGGGUGCGUAGGCGGCCAGGCAAGUCCGAUGUGAAAUACCACGGCUAAACUGUGGGGGUGCAUAGGAAACUGUCUGGCUUGAGUGCAGGAGAGGAAAGUGGAAUUCCUGGUGUAGCAGUGAAAUGCGUAGAGAUCAGGAAGAACACCAGUGGCGAAGGCGGCUUUCUGGACUGUAACUGACGCUGAGGCACGAAAGCGUGGGGAGCAAACAGGAUUAGAUACCCUGGUAGUCCACGCCGUAAACGAUGGAUACUAGGUGUAGGGGGUAUCGACCCCCCCUGUGCCGGAGUUAACGCAAUAAGUAUCCCGCCUGGGGAGUACGGCCGCAAGGUUGAA
rnacentral:rRNA from 1 species